UGCCCAGCAACUCCUAUCCCUACCUCCACGCGGUACCGGCCGGAAGCUAUGAGCAACCUUAGGGAAGAUCGGGUAACCAACCCCGGUGGGAACUUUGGUCGUAGGCUGACAGGGAAGG
rfam:Aedes albopictus isolate Foshan contig90052, whole genome shotgun sequence.